rnacentral:tRNA from 1 species
GAGGGUAUGGCUCAAGUGGUAGAGCGCAUGCUUAGCAUGCACAAGGUCCUGGGUUCAAUCCCUAGUACCUCCU